rnacentral:rRNA from 1 species
UACAGAGGGUGCGAGCGUUAAUCGGAAUUACUGGGCGUAAAGCGUGCGCAGGCGGUUGUGCAAGACCGAUGUGAAAAUCCCCGGGCUUAACCUGGGAAUGGCAUUGGUGACUGCACGGCUAGAGUGUGUCAGAGGGGGGUAGAAUUCCACGUGUAGCAGUGAAAUGCGUAGAGAUGUGGAGGAAUACCGAUGGCGAAGGCAGCCCCUGGGAUAACACUGACGCUCAUGCACGAAAGCGUGGGGAGCAAACAGG